rnacentral:rRNA from 1 species
UACGUAGGGUGCAAGCGUUGUCCGGAAUUAUUGGGCGUAAAGAGCUCGUAGGCGGUCUGUCGCGUCUGCUGUGAAAACUCGGGGCUUAACCCCGGGCCUGCAGUGGAUACGGGCAGACUAGAGUGCGGUAGGGGAGACUGGAAUUCCUGGUGUAGCGGUGAAAUGCGCAGAUAUCAGGAGGAACACCGGUGGCGAAGGCGGGUCUCUGGGCCGUAACUGACGCUGAGGAGCGAAAGCGUGGGGAGCGAACAGG